CGCACUAUUAAGUAAAACUUUUCCUUAACUUACCGAUCACGGCAAAGUACGAUGCAAUCGUUACGUGAUGUGACAACGUUGUCUUUUGGCCUUGAUUGAAACUCGUACCUUUGUACCAUUACGAAAUCAUAAACAUUUCCAAUGUUCAACAUUUUUUUAAAGUGAUUUCUAAUGAAGUAAUUAAAUGUUGUGUUAAAAUGUUUUAAGUUCUUCAAGUCAUUUUCACUGACAAAUUAUGAGGUUUCUAGUGCCAAGUAAUGGAAAGUCAACCAACACAAGAUAGUGAAAAGAGUGUCUUCAGCCAUACCCCUUUUGUAGCUUCGUUAUAGAAGAACCAUUAAAUAUCAAAACUAUCUCCCUCACCAUUCCUCAAGAUAUUUGAUGGUACUGAACAAGUGGGUACCUUAUUUAAAGGAUUCCUGAAGGUAUGUAGUUUUAUUAUAUAACAUAAACAGUGAACUAUACUAAAUAGUAAGCACUAACACGACCUAUGUAUACAGAUCCUAUGCCUUUUACACCUACUCUUAUGUAGGUACCUACUUAAUUUGUAUUAUCAUUGAUCGAAUUUAUAAUGAUAGUUACUCAUUCAAUGGUAUUAUGUGGUAAUGAAAUGAUGGUGGUAUUCG